rnacentral:misc_RNA from 1 species
GAUUGGCUUUGCAGGUGGUAACGGCACUGGUAAAGCUGUUAAUGGAACUAGUAGAAGUGGCUCACUUGCAGGCUCAAAUGGCAGCCACUCCAUUCUUAACCCCAACUACGAUGGUAAAGGAACCUAUUUGAUUUUUAAUGUCGGAGAUACCAUCUUCAUUGGCGACCUUAAUUCACCGGAUAAGGAUCCUAUAAAGUCUUUGCACUUUAGCAAUUCAAAUCCUAUAUGCCAUGCCUUUGAUCCUGAAGCUAAGGAUGGUCACGACCUA